UUAUUUUGGGUCCAUUUCUAAUACAUAAAUAUCCUGCGAUUUUGAUUAUUUAGUGAAGCAAUAAAUACAAUAUUUUUUAAAAAAAAUAUGAACUCUUUCUUCUACAUGAAACAAAAGUAAAAUUAAAAAAAAAAGGAUGAAGUAUCCAAAGUGAAAUUCAAAACAUCACAUAUAAAUUAAUUGACUUUUCGAGUGGAGUGAAAGUAUUGGUUUUGUUGAACCGGAUACUACAAAUAAAACCAAUUUAAACCCAAAAAAAUUCCCUUAUAUAAUAAGAUGAUCAGAGUGUUGAAACUUCUUCAUAAUUCUUUUGCAAUAUCUCACGAGUAUUCACACUGAUUCCUCGAUAAGAUCUAUAAGUACGUACCUGAGGCAUACAGUUCAAAGCAUUUUCCUAUUGGAGGGUUGUUGGAUGACUCCUUCAGAAAUACCAACUACCAAUGUUGAGACCGCAGUUCGGAGUGGAGGAGUGCCGGCACUCCGAACUGCGGUCUCAACAUUGGUAGUUGAUAUUUCUGAAGGAGUCAUCCAACAACCCUCCAAUAGGCAAAUGCUUCAUUGUACGGUGCCUUCGGUACGUUCAUGACAAGGGAGGAAGUUAUAAAUUAUGUAACACAUAUGAGGAUUUACCAAGCUAUUGUGGAUCGAGUCUUCAGCCAAUUCUUGGCAUUUAUGCCACCAGCUGCAUGGCAAAUGUAUUUGACUGAGACCGGAGCCGCUCUUGAGGAGGAGGGAGAGGAAGAACGUCAACAACGAGAUGAGUGUACCAAAGGGGAUCAGGUCAGAACGCUGGCACAAGUGGAAGUGGAAGCGAUCAUCAGUGAGAAGGAAAACAAAUUAAUAUUCGGAAGUGAUCAUCCGUGUCUUGUGUUUUAACUGUGUGACUAGAUUCUGGGCGGGUAUAUUUUUGUUUUAUUUUAUUUUUAAUUUUAAUUUUAUGUUUGUGUUGUUUUAAUCAUAUUUGUGUUAAAUGUUACUUUAAUAUAAUUUUUGAUAACUAUAUUACAUAUGUCAAAUUGCAUAACUGUGCAUUUGUGAGAUAUAUACAUCAGAUGUUUUACACAUGUAUAUAUAAUAUAAUUAAUAAAUUUAAUAAUUAAAAGAUAUACACAUUAUAAAAUAGUUUUGAAUCUAUCAAUACGUAAGCAUGAAUAUAAUCGAAUAUAGGAGCUACAUAAGGAGCUAAAUAACUGAGAAAUUGAAAACUCUCUAAAGAUAAAAUUGUAGUUCAAAUAAAAAAAAGCAUUAUAAGCAUCUUCAAAGGUAGGAUACAAAACUCCAUUAACAGUUCGUAUAUCUGUGUAGCUGGUUGAUACUUUGUUCUUGUUUAAAAGAAAACUCAGAUAAAACAAUUCGCUUGUGUUGGAGUUAUUUUAAGUCAUACAUAACUCGCUAGAUGACUAACCCGCCGCGGUACGGGAUAAAUAUUGAGGUUUAAUUUUUUUAUUAUUAAUUUUUUAUUAUUAAUUUAUUAUUAUUAUUUUUAUUUUAAUUAUUAUGUUAUUAAGGUUUAACUAUAAACGUUAGUUUAGACUUUAGUCUUACAAUAUUUUUAGAGUUUUUAAGCAGACAUAAAAAGACGUAAAUAACACUGCAUUGGUAAUCAAAGUUCAAAUAAAACCAAACACUUGCAAAGAACAAACUUACUGGAAACAGAAAACAACAAACUUACUGGAAACAGAAAACGACAAACAUAAAUCAUAAUGAAAACAUAAAAACAGAAAACGACAAACACAAAGCACAAUUCCACACUUCCUUAGCCACUUUUGUUCGAGUUUCACUGCUGCUUGAGACCUUUUUCUUUUUUUCACAAACACUCUGGUGCAAUGUUUCUUUGAUGACGAAGUGAGUUCAGUUGGGUCGUUGGUUAUGGCAAUUUCAUUGCGUUUAGAUGAUGGCGUUGUUACAGAGUCCUCGUUGACUUCACUUCCCAUCAGUAGAAAUGAACCCUACAAUAUAAACUCAGUUAUCAAAUAGUUGCGGUCCUUAAAUUAAAAUUAAAAUUUUAUAUAUGAAUAAGACAAAAGAUACCUGUUCACCACUAUAAUUUGUAGUUUUAGUUUCAGAUGGAGUACCCGAUUCUGUGACACCAGCAGUCAAUAGCAUACUUAGUUCACUCCAUACUUUACCAACCUUAAAACUCCCACUUUUGCUUGUAUGAUUGUCUUUCUCAAUGAAAACUCCAAACAUGAAAGUUUUACCAACCAAAGAAGUAAUAGCUUCAGGAAAUGAAUCAAUAUCUUCUAGCUGUAUAAUGAAUGUAGAGUUACAUAAUAAAUUACUUGCAUCUGUAAAAUAAAUGUAGUUAUAAUUAAUAGUUUAUGAAAUAGAGUAUACCUCAUCAAAUGAACCAUCGAGAAGGUUGAGAGCAGUCUCAGGCACAAUUCCUUGUGCAGUCCAGUCCAAUAACAUGAGGGUAGCUUCUCCAGUACCAUCCUUAACCUUCACAUGAAUCUUGAACCUACAUAAUAUAAUAAACAUAAUCAAAUUACGUAUGCAAAUUUUUUGACUAUUCAUAAACUGUGUUUUGUAAAGUAAACUUACUUUGGGGAGACAUCUGUAACUUUAUGGUUGCAACCUUCACACCACCAAACAUGAGAUUUAGUCUCUUUUCCGUUGACUGUUUUCACUGAAGUUGAAAACGGAAGAACCUUUUUUCCCAGGCAAGCAUUGCAUCCGAAAAAGUACCAUCCCCAAUCCUUAUCAAUUGCAUAGAUUGUGCUAAUGAUUCUGCAUUGCCCAAUCUACAUUUAUAAUAUAUACAAAUUAGUGUUUGACAAAUAAAUCACUACUAUAACAUAUAUUGAAUCGAUAAAUAUAACCUGAGAUGAUGCAAGAAGCUCUGCAAUGUCUUUCUGAGGGAAAAGCAACCACUUAUCACGUCUUAAUUCCCUCUCAAUUUUAUCUUUUUCAGAUUGAAAUGUUGUCAAAGCAUUGGACGGUUCAACCCUGUAAAAACAUAAAUUAACAUAGAUUCGUCAUAAUAUUCCUUGAGCUUUAUCUAAUUUAUUAAUCUGUUAUCAAAACCUUUUCAAAAACUCAUCUGUCUCCUUUAUUGGUGGGUUGAAAACGACCUGAGAUGCAUCAAACGCAUUGGAUAUCUGAACCUGGUCUGCAUAUUAUCAAUAGUAAUAAAAAAUCAGUAACGCUCUUAUUCAAGAAAAAUAAUAAACACUGUAUUAUUUUAUAUAAAAAGAAAAUGAUAUGAGAUUACUUCGAUAGGUCCCGAUUUUAGCAAAACGUAUUAGGCAUACAACAAUUUCUUCUUCAGAUUGUUGGCUGAAACUGUGUAUUGCUUCAGCAAACUUUCCCCAAAGGCAGCAAGGUAUCUUUUGAUCACUGUUGAAAACAUAUAUUAAUAGCUUAAAAAAUAUAUGAUAUAAGAAAUACAUAAAUUAAUAUAUUACUUGAUGUCUCUCAAGCUGAACUCGAUUUUCUUUCUUUCUUUACCGUGACACUACACAGUUUCCAGAUCUCCCAACUCAAACACUUGUCCAAUAACAUCUGAUAUUGUACACAUCAUAUGUAAGAUUCGUAAAACACUUUAGAAAAAUAUAGAAGUAAAAAUUUGUAUGAAUGUAUUAAACUAACCAAUUAAGUUGGUUGUAUCAAGUUUUCCACUUUGAAUGCUUUCAAAGUCAACCAAACUAAGGAACAUUUUUUCCUCUUGCAGUGUUGAAGGAGUAAUGUCAGUGGUGGGAAUGAAGACAAUCUUGUAUUGGUGAUUUGUAGUCUUGUAACUACCGCCAUUAUUAGUCACCAAGAAAUUGUCAAUGUUUCUCCAAGCACCAACAGUGCAGUUUCUGUAAAGAUUGAAGGUGUGGUGGAGUUAUGCGUAGACUGCAAUAUUUAUAAGUGCAGUUUCUGUAAAGAUGGAAGGUGUGGAGAUUUUUCCGGAAAUAUAGUAGUGGUGAUGUUACGUGAUUAAAGGAAUAAAAUACUCAGAAAAGUAUUUAUGUUCUAUCUUUUCAGAAAUCAUGGGGUUUUUUAUUUAAUUAUUAUUUAGGAAAUUGUAGUGUUUGUAUUUAUAAUCUGGGUUAUAAUAUUUUCCUACAAUGAUGUGGAAAAUUCACUGAAUCAUAUGGUGACGUAAA